rnacentral:rRNA from 1 species
UACGGGGGGAGCAAGCGUUGUUCGGAUUUACUGGGCGUAAAGGGCGCGUAGGCGGUCAGCACAAGUCAGUUGUGAAAUCUCCGGGCUUAACUCGGAACUGUCAGCUGAUACUGAUGUGCUAGAGUGCGGAAGGGGCAAUCGGAAUUCUUGGUGUAGCGGUGAAAUGCGCAGAUAUCAGGAAGAACACCCGUGGCGAAGGCGGCUCUCUGGAACGCAACUGACGCUGAGACGCGAAAGCGUGGGGAGCAAACAGG